rnacentral:lncRNA from 1 species
GUACCCCCUUGCUUGCCUCCACUUCUAUGCUUAUAUAUUUGUUGACAAAUAUUGCAUUGCACCUCAAUAUCUGAUAUACGUUCAAAAAAUUGUCAUGCAAUACUAGUUCUUUUACGAGGUUUUGGGGCACUGGGAGGACGGGAAGGGAGAUUAACUGAUUUAGAUUUAACGUUAGCAUCUCCUACUGCGGGUGUCUCAGCAAUAUUUUUAUUAUCUUCGUCUAAAUUAACCGCAUCUACUUCAUUUUCUUCUUCUAUACCGUAAUUUUUCUGAGCUUCUACAUAAUCCAUAUCGUGAGCACCUACACCUAUUUCUUCCUCAAAAGGUGUACCAAGCGGUACCGGAGGUGAAG